UACGUAGGGGGCAAGCGUUGUCCGGAAUCAUUGGGCGUAAAGAGCGUGUAGGCGGCUUGGUAAGUCCGCUGUGAAAGUCCAGGGCUCAACCCUGGAAAGCCGGUGGAAACUGUCAAGCUUGAGUCCGGAAGAGGCGAGUGGAAUUCCUGGUGUAGCGGUGAAAUGCGCAGAUAUCGGGAAGAACACCCGUGGCGAAGGCGGCUCUCUGGGACGGUACUGACGCUGAGACGCGAAAGCGUGGGGAGCAAACAGG
rnacentral:rRNA from 1 species